AAGUAGUAUGAACUGAAAAAGACGUUGGUGCAAUUUCUACAUUUGAAUAUCGAAUAUAUUGUUUAGUUAACUCUCAUUACUGUUUAAGGUUGAAGAAGAAGAGCGAAGACUUGAAGUAGCAAUUGAACAAACUGAGAAAUAGUGUACAGAGGUAAAUUCUGAGCUGAAAGAACUACAAUUGAAAUCCAAGCGCUUUACAGAAUUGGAGGAACGAUAUUGGCAUGAGUUCAACAAUUUUCAGUUUCAGUUAACUUCACAUCAGGAGGACAGAGAUUCCAUUUUGGCUAAGAUUGAAAUCUCACUAGCAAAUUUGGAAUUGUUAAAGC